rnacentral:rRNA from 1 species
CCUACGGGAGGCAGCAGUGGGGAAUUUUGGACAAUGGGGGCAACCCUGAUCCAGCAAUGCCGCGUGAGUGAAGAAGGCCUUCGGGUUGUAAAGCUCUUUUGUCAGGGAAGAAACAGCAGCUCUAACACAGCUGUGAAUGACGGUACCUGAAGAAUAAGCACCGGCUAACUACGUGCCAGCAGCCGCGGUAAUACGUAGGGUGCAAGCGUUAAUCGGAAUUACUGGGCGUAAAGCGUGCGCAGGCGGUUAUAUAAGACAGGUGUGAAAUCCCCGGGCUUAACCUGGGAAUUGCAUCUGUGACUGUAUAGCUAGAGUGUGUCAGAGGGGGGUAGAAUUCCACGUGUAGCAGUGAAAUGCGUAGAUAUGUGGAGGAAUACCAAUGGCGAAGGCAGCCCCCUGGGAUAACACUGACGCUCAUGCACGAAAGCGUGGGGAGCAAACAGGAUUAGAUACCCUGGUAGUCCACGCCCUAAACGAUGCUGACUAGUUGUUCGGGAUUUUAUCCUGAGUAACGUAGCUAACGCGUGAAGUCAGCCGCCUGGGGAGUACGGUCGCAAGAUUAAAACGUCAAAAUGAAAUUGACGG